GAAGGCAUCUUAGCAGUGUGUUAGUGGAAUCCAGUUACUGGUUCUUUUUCAUUCUGUCUUUUUCUUCUUUUUUUUCAAGGACUGUAUCUGCACUGCUUAGACCACAAAUGGAGCUGGGGAAUUCUUACAGAGAUAACCCUAUGCCAUUUUUCCCUACUGUUUCUAGUAUAAAGAUGUCAGGACUGUAUUAGGAUUAAGAAUAGAUAUAGAGCACGUCCGGAAAAGCUGUAGGAAAAGACUUAUCAGGCUAAAGCACAGUAUAAGCUUUUCUACAAAUAGUUUAUUUACAGAAAAAUAUAGAUAUGAGAGAUCUGGACAAUGUUGUAGAUUAUACAAAACUGGAAUUAGAAAAAAUGUAAAAUAUUCAUGGACUUUUUUAGCAUCUUUUUCAGAUCUUAAGCUGGUAAAAGUCACUAGAAAAAAAAAAAAAAAAUAGAGUGAUAAAAUAAGAGCCAGAAAACAUCAACCAAAUUUCUUGCUAUCCUUUCCCUUAUACAUCUGCUAGCCAAUUCUACCCAUGUGUCAACAAUCUGCUGACGUAGUUCCAAAAUGCUGUUGAGGCUCUGAGUGCAUUAAUAUGCCUUAAUGGCCCUGACUCCUUUCAGCUGGGGCCACACACCCACACCUUUGCUCUUGGGCACAGGAACUCCAGGGACUCUCAGCCUCUCUGCUCACCUUGCCUAGGCGUUGGUGCAGCGGUGCCCUGCUGGCCUUGCUCUCUGACCUGGCUCUGUCUGGUGGGAAGCAGCUGGCUCUGGCCCUUCCUGGGAGGGCAGUUUGUUGGAGCCCUGACUGAUGUGGUCGUGGGUGAGUCCAGAUUGGUUGGUAGAAGUAGCAUUUUUUAGAUGUCUUAAAGACAUGAUACAGAAUGUUUAAAUCUAUGUCUACUUUUUAAGUCUUAAAUACUUUUGAGACAAUUUUCAGUAGCUUUUCAGUGUUUUUUUGUUUGUUUCUGACAAUCAUUCUCCCUAAUUCAUGAGUGUCCUUCCUAAAUAUAUUUUGGAAACGAAGCAAGGUGUUACUGGAGAGCCUUCAGCUUUUGUGGCAAUUCAAGGAGUCUGCAUAUGCAGCAGUAGUGCUAUUUAAAAUGUAAAACAUAAGAAUAAGGCCUUUGCCAAACAGCCUAUUUACAGGCAGAUGUUAGUGACUCACACACCUGGAGCUGAUGAAACCAGAUUGAGUCCUGUUAGCCUGCAGAUGGUUGAAGGCUAUUCUCACUAGCAGCACUGUGGAUAUGGAGGCUCCGUGAGAAAAUUGCUGUUUGCUGACCAGAAAGGUAAAAGGGCAAUUACUGUUUCUGUAAUAUUAGCAAUAAUAUAUAGAGGGAGACGUUUUUUCUGGAUGACAUAUCUGCAAGUGUCAUUCUCCUGUGCAAUUCUUCAGCUUAUGCUCCUACUUCUCUAACUAAUUAAGCAGGACAAGUCAGCCAGCUCACAGUGGCUUUUGCCUAUGUUGGAAUAGCAGCCUUCCAGCAGCUGGUAGAUAAUAAAAGACUAGAAAUGUAUUUUAAGUAUCUUGAA
rnacentral:lncRNA from 1 species